rnacentral:rRNA from 1 species
UACGGAGGAUGCAAUCGUUAUCCGGAAUUAUUGGGCGUAAAGCGUCCGUAGGUGGCUUUGUAAGUCUGCUGUUAAAGAGUCUAGCUCAACUAGAUAAGAGCAGUGGAAACUACAUGGCUAGAGUGCGUUCGGGGCAGAGGGAAUUCCUGGUGUAGCGGUGAAAUGCGUAGAGAUCAGGAAGAACACCGGUGGCGAAGGCGCUCUGCUAGGCCGCAACUGACACUGAGGGACGAAAGCUAGGGGAGCGAAUGGG